AAACCAUAUUGUCUAUUUCGGUUCGGUACGGUUCGGUUUUACCAUAUUGAACAGCCCUACCCUAAACCCUAAAACUAAACUCUAAACCCUAAACCAUCAAUCCUAAACCCUAUUUUUUCGAUAUACGAACCCUAAACCCUAAACCAUCAAUCCAAAACCCUAUUUUUUUUAAAUACGAACCCUAAACCCUGAAACAUCAACUCUAAACCCUAAACCCCGAAACCUUCAACUCUAAACCCUAAAACAUCAACUCUAAACCCUAAACCCUAAACUUCAACUCUAAACCCUAAACCAUCAACACUAAACCCUAAACCCUAAAAAGUAAACUCUAAACCCUAAACCCUAAAAAAUUUAAACUAAACCAUAAAACAUCAACUCUAAACCCUAAACCCUAAACCCUAAACCUUCAACCCUAAACCCUAAACCCUAAAUCCUAAACCCU
rnacentral:lncRNA from 1 species